UGAGGCAGGAACAAAUGGUGAUUUAUUUAACAAAGAAGCAGGGUAAACCAGGAAACAAGUGGGGAAACUAAGUAACCAGGGAUUAAACUAAGGACAACUCACUGAAGGGGAGGGUGACGGUACCGGGAACCGGUGGCCCGGCAGGCGACCUCUGUUCGGGUGCUGGUCGGCAGCGGAGAGCGGGCAGGAGCGUCCCGUUCAGAGGGGUAGGUAGGCAGGAUGGUCCAGAGAGCUGGGGAGCUCAGCAGUAGGAUGUUCUAGAGAGCUGGGGAGCUCAGCAGUAGGAUGUUCUAGAGAGCUGGGGAGCUCAGCAGGUAGGAUGUUCUAGAGAGCUGGGGAGCUCAGCAGUAGGAUGUUCUAGAGAGCUGGGGAGCUCAGCAGUAGGAUGUUCUAGAGAGCUGGGGAGCUCAGCAGUAGGAUGUUCUAGAGAGCUGGGGAGCUCAGCAGUAGGAUGUUCUAGAGAGCUGGGGAGCUCAGCAGUAGGAUGUUCUAGAGAGCUGGGGAGCUCAGCAGUAGGAUGUUCUAGAGAGCUGGGGAGCUCAGCAGUAGGAUGUUCUAGAGAGCUGGGGAGCUCAGCAGUAGGAUGUUCUAGAGAGCUGGGGAGCUCAGCAGUAGGAUGUUCUAGAGAGCUGGAGAGCUCAGCAGGUAGGGAAAUCCAGGGGCAGGUUGGGGAUCCAGGAGCAGGAGGGGGGCAGAAUCCGGAGGGUCUGGUUAGGGAGAUCCGAAGGCUGGUUUCAGGAAGCAGGAUUGGCAGAACCGGGCAGCUGGGACAGCAGAACUGCAGGCAAGAGAACAGAGGUAGAAGGAACAUAUUUCUACUAGAGCAUAAAUGUGCAGGAAGCUAGACAGCAGAGUUU
ensembl:lncRNA